rnacentral:rRNA from 1 species
CCCUUCGGGGUUAGUGGCGGACGGGUGAGUAACACGUGGGAACGUGCCUUUAGGUUCGGAAUAGCUCCUGGAAACGGGUGGUAAUGCCGAAUGUGCCCUUCGGGGGAAAGAUUUAUCGCCUUUAGAGCGGCCCGCGUCUGAUUAGCUAGUUGGUGAGGUAACGGCUCACCAAGGCGACGAUCAUUAGCUGGUCUGAGAGGAUGACCAGCCACACUGGGACUGAGACACGGCCCACACUCCUACGGGAGGCAGCAGUGGGGAAUCUUGCUCAAUGGGCGAAAGCCUGACGCAGCCAUGCCGCGUGAAUGAUGAAGGUCUUAGGAUUGUAAAAUUCUUUCACCGGGGACGAUAAUGACGGUACCCGGAGAAGAAGCCCCGGCUAACUUCGUGCCAGCAGCCGCGGUAAUACGAAGAGGGCUAGCGUUGCUCGGAAUUACUGGGCGUAAAGGGCGCGUAGGCGGAUCGUUAAGUCAGAGGUGAAAUCCCAUGGCUCAACCCUGGAACUGCCUUUGAUACUGGCGAUCUUGACUAUGAGAGAGGUAUGUGGUACUCCUAGUGUAGAGGUGAAAUUCGUAGAUAUUCAGAAGAACACCAGUGGCGAAGGC